AUUGAACGCUGGCGGCAGGCCUAACACAUGCAAGUCGAGCGAGCGGCGGACGGGUGAGUAAUGUAUGGGGACUGCCCGAUAGAGGGGGAUAACUACUGGACACGGUAGCUAAUACCGCAUACUAUCGGAUAACCCAUAUGGAAUUAGCUAGUAGGUGAGGUAAUGGCUGACCUAGGCGACGAUCCCUAGCUGGUCUGGGAGGAUGAUCAGCCACACUGGGACUGAGACACGGCCCAGGCUCCUACGGGGGCGGCAGUGGGGAAUAUUGCACAAUGGGCGCAAUCCUGAUGCAGCCGUGCCGCGGGGAUGAGGAAGGCCAUAGGGUUGUAAAGUACUUUCAGUCGGGAGGCGUUACCGACAGAAGAAGCACCGGCUAACUCCGUGCCAGCAGCCGCGGUAAUUC
rnacentral:rRNA from 1 species